UACGGAGGGAGCUAGCGUUGUUCGGAAUUACUGGGCGUAAAGCGCGCGUAGGCGGCUUUGUAAGUUAGAGGUGAAAGCCCGGAGCUCAACUCCGGAGCUGCCUUUAAGACUGCAUCGCUUGAAUCCGGGAGAGGUGAGUGGAAUUCCGAGUGUAGAGGUGAAAUUCGUAGAUAUUCGGAAGAACACCAGUGGCGAAGGCGGCUCACUGGACCGGUAUUGACGCUGAGGUGCGAAAGCGUGGGGAGCAAACAGG
rnacentral:rRNA from 1 species